rnacentral:antisense_RNA from 1 species
CAGUAGUGAGGGGAUUUUUUGGUGUGGCUAGUCGCCUAUUUAUCAUUGCGUUUGCGUAGCCAGUUCGCAAACAAAGCAACGAUGCAAC